GGGGUGAGGUCUGGUGACCACCGGUGACUGCCAAUUUCUCGGUAGAUGGGUUCGACCCCCAUUCACCCCGCCA
rnacentral:tRNA from 1 species